AUGACAUCAACAGGUUUCUCCCUGAAUUUCAGCCAGCAAAGCUUUCAAGGAUCUUCACCAACUCUAAAGGAUUCGGAUAAUAUGAAUGGUUCACUGGUACCUGUUUCAGUUGGAAGCUCUAAAGAACAUCAACACUCUAUGAUGGAAACCACUGUGCAACAUGAAGUGUUCGGGCAACUACAACUACUCCUUGAUGAUCUGGAGUGCUCGAAAAGAGAAACAUUUGAGGGUCAGCAGAAAAUAGCGAGGGGUCUGUUCGAAAAUCCUACGAUGUGCAAAGCACAGGAGAAUUCACCCCGUAAAGAGAAAAAUGAGCGAGAGGAAAGACUGGCCAGAGAAAAGGCCGGACUCAAAAAGGAACACCUUCAUUUAUACAACGAGCUGUAG
rnacentral:rRNA from 1 species